GACGAACGCUGGCGGCGUGCUUAACACAUGCAAGUCGAACGAUGAACCCGGAGCUUGCUCCGGUGGAUUAGUGGCGAACGGGUGAGUAACACGUGAGUAACCUGCCCUUGACUCUGGGAUAACUGCGGGAAACUGUAGCUAAUACCGGAUACGACCCUCGGCGGCAUCGCCAGGGGGUGGAAAGAAUUUCGGUGAAGGAUGGACUCGCGGCCUAUCAGCUAGUUGGUGAGGUAACGGCUCACCAAGGCGACGACGGGUAGCCGGCCUGAGAGGGUGAGCGGCCACACUGGGACUGAGACACGGCCCAGACUCCUACGGGAGGCAGCAGUGGGGAAUAUUGCACAAUGGGCGCAAGCCUGAUGCAGCAACGCCGCGUGAGGGAUGACGGCUUUCGGGUUGUAAACCUCUUUUAGUAGGGAAGAAGCGAAAGUGACGGUACCUGCAGAAAAAGCACCGGCUAACUACGUGCCAGCAGCCGCAGUAA
rnacentral:rRNA from 1 species